rfam:Myotis lucifugus cont2.49901, whole genome shotgun sequence.
GCCGGUGUGGCUCAGUGGGUAGAGCGUCGGCCUGGGGACUGAAGGGUCCCAGGUUUGAUUCCGGCCAAGGGCA